rnacentral:tRNA from 1 species
GCCUAGGUGGCUCAGUAGGUUAAGCAUCUGGCUUCAGCUCAGGUCAUGAUCUCACGGGGUUGUGGGUUCAAGCCCCGCCUUGGGCU